rnacentral:snoRNA from 1 species
AUCCCCCAGAAUCCUUACCCAUCAGAUCUAAACAGCAGUCUAAGUAGCUAUACAUGGAGGAAAAGUAACACGGAAACAGACUUGGAUUCCUUUGUGAUAUACAAGUUGGCUUCAAGCAAUC